AUACGGAGGGUGCAAGCGUUAUCCGGAAUCAUUGGGUUUAAAGGGUCCGUAGGCGGGCAAUUAAGUCAGAGGUGAAAUCCCACAGCUCAACUGUGGAACUGCCUUUGAUACUGAUUGUCUCGAAUUUUAGUGAAGUAGAUAGAAUAUGUAGUGUAGCGGUGAAAUGCAUAGAUAUUACAUAGAAUACCGAUUGCGAAGGCAGUCUACUAACUAACAAUUGACGCUAACGGACGAAAGCGUGGGGAGCGAACAGGAUUAGAAACCCCCAGUAGUCC
rnacentral:rRNA from 1 species